CCUACGGGAGGCAGCAGUAGGGAAUCUUCCGCAAUGGACGAAAGUCUGACGGAGCAACGCCGCGUGAGUGAUGAAGGCUUUCGGGCCGUAAAACUCUGUUGUUAGGGAAGAACAAGUGCUAGUUGAAUAAGCUGGCACCUUGACGGUACCUAACCAGAAAGCCACGGCUAACUACGUGCCAGCAGCCGCGGUAAUACGUAGGUGGCAAGCGUUAUCCGGAAUUAUUGGGCGUAAGGCGCGCGCAGGUGGUUUCUUAAGUCUGAUGUGAAAGCCCACGACUCAACCGUGGAGGGUCAUUGGAAACUGGGAGACUUGGGUGCAGAAGAGGAAAGUGGAAUUCCAUGUGUAGCGGUGAAAUGCGUAGAGAUAUGGAGGAACACCAGUGGCGAAGGCGACUUUCUGGUCUGUAACUGACACUGAGGCGCGAAAGCGUGGGGAGCAAACAGGAUUAGAUACCCCGAGUAGUC
rnacentral:rRNA from 1 species